GUGGGGAAUAUUGGACAAUGGGGGGAACCCUGAUCCAGCCAUGCCGCGUGUGUGAAGAAGGCCUUUUGGUUGUAAAGCACUUUAAGCGAGGAGGAGGCUACCGAGAUUAAUACUCUUGGAUAGUGGACGUUACUCGCAGAAUAAGCACCGGCUAACUCUGUGCCAGCAGCCGCGGUAAUACAGAGGGUGCAAGCGUUAAUCGGAUUUACUGGGCGUAAAGCGCGCGUAGGUGGCCAAUUAAGUCAAAUGUGAAAUACCCGAGCUUAACGUGGGAAUUGCAUUCGAUACUGGUUGGCUAGAGUAUGGGAGAGGAUGGUAGAAUUCCAGGUGUAGCGGUGAAAUGCGUAGAGAUCUGGAGGAAUACCGAUGGCGAAGGCAGCCAUCUGGCCUAAUACUGACACUGAUGUGCGAAAGCAUGGGGAGCAAACAGGAUUAGAUACCCGUGUAGUCC
rnacentral:rRNA from 1 species